ensembl:snoRNA SNORA73 Small nucleolar RNA SNORA73 family
CCAAUGCGGGUGGAUACCCUGGGAGGUCACUCUACCCAGGCUCUGUCCAGGUGGCAUAGGGGAGCAUAGGGCUCUGCCCCAUGAUGUACAGUCCCUUUCCGCAACGUUGGAGAUAAAGCUGGGCUUUGUGUCUGCGCCUGCAUAUUCCUACGACUUCCCAGAGUCCUGUGGACAAUGACUGGGGAGACAAACCAUGCAGGAAACAUGU